UACGUAGGGGGCAAGCGUUGUCCGGGUUUUUUGGGCGUAAAGAGCUUGUAGGCGGCCAUACAGGUCCGUUGGGAAAACUGGAGGCUUAACCUCCAGACGUCGAUGGAAACCGUAUGGCUAGAGUCCGGAAGAGGAGAGUGGAAUUCCUGGUGUAGCGGUGAAAUGCGCAGAUAUCAGGAAGAACACCCGUGGCGAAGGCGGCUCUCUGGGACGGUACUGACGCUGAGACGCGAAAGCGUGGGGAGCGAACAGG
rnacentral:rRNA from 1 species